GAUGAACGCUGGCGGCGUGCUUAACACGUGCAAGUCGAACGGGAAUUAUUUUAUUGAAACUUCGGUCGAUUUAAUUUAAUUCUAGUGGCGGACGGGUGAGUAACGCGUGGGUAACCUGCCUUAUACAGGGGGAUAACAGUCAGAAAUGGCUGCUAAUACCGCAUAAGCGCACAGAGCUGCAUGUCUCAGUGUGAAAAACUCCGGUGGUAUAAGAUGGACCCGCGUUGGAUUGGCUGGUUGGUGGGGUAACGGCCCACCAAGGCGACGAUCCAUAGCCGGCCUGAGAGGGUGAACGGCCACAUUGGGACUGAGACACGGCCCAGACUCCUACGGGAGGGAGCAGUAGGGAAUAUUGCACAAUGGGGGAAAACCUGAUGCAGCGACGCCGCGUGAAGGAAGAAGUAUCUCGGUAUGUAAACUUCUAUCAGCAGGGAAGAUAGUGACGGUACCUGACUAAGAAGCCCCGGCUAACUACGUG
rnacentral:rRNA from 1 species